rnacentral:rRNA from 1 species
GACGAACGCUGGCGGCGUGCUUAACACAUGCAAGUCGAACGGAAAGGCCCUGCUUUUGUGGGGUGCUCGAGUGGCGAACGGGUGAGUAACACGUGAGUAACCUGCCCUUGACUUUGGGAUAACUUCAGGAAACUGGGGCUAAUACCGGAUAGGAGCUCCUGCUGCAUGGUGGGGGUUGGAAAGUUUCGGCGGUUGGGGCUGGACUCGCGGCUUAUCAGCUUGUUGGUGGGGUAGUGGCUUACCAAGGCUUUGACGGGUAGCCGGCCUGAGCGGGUGACCGGCCACAUUGGGACUGAGAUGCGGCCCAGGCUCCUACGGGAGGCAGCAGUGGGGAAUAUUGCACAAUGGGCGGAAGCCUGAUGCAGCAACUCCGCGUGCGGGAUGACGGCCUUCGGGUUGUAAACCGCUUUCGCCUGUGACGAAGCGUGAGUGGCGGUAAUGGGUAAAGAAGCACCGGCUAACUACGUG